GGGUAUAUACCUAGGAGUAGAAUUGCUCAAUCAUAUGCUAACACUGUGCUUAAUCAUUUGAGGAACUAUUGGUCUCCAAAGUGGCUGCACCAUUUCCAUUCCCACCAGCAGCAUAUGAGGUCUCCAUUGCUCCACAUCCUAUAUAAGAUUUGUUACUAUCUUUUUCAUUAUAGCCACCCACUCUGGUAUAAAUGAAUUGGUAUCACAUUUUGCCUGUUUUUUUAAAAACACACUUUAUUUUGGCCAGGCGUGAGCCACAACACCUGGCCUUAAACAUACUUUCAACUACUCCUCUUAAUUUUAAUUUUACCUGAUCCCCAAUUCCAAACGUACAAGUAGACACUAAUUCAUGCUCUUUUAGAGGUUCUGCAGUGCAGAUUGCUUUCCCCCCACCAAUUAGUUAGUACCAUUUCUGUGUCUAGUUAACUCUGGUCGAACGAUUUCUAGCUUCCAAAAUAUUGUGGUUUCUGUCUUCUGUUUUGUUUUCGUCUUGUUGGUCUUAUGUCCUUAAAAAUUUCAUGGACUUCAUUUUAAUGAAUUUUGAGAGAGAGACGUAGCUAGUGCAUAUGAGUAAUUCAUUCUCUCUAAACUAGAAGUUUAUUUUCAUUUCUAUCUGCACUGUGAAGUUAAGUUUUUUUAUUCGAAUUUUUUUUUAAGGAGAAUAAGGUUUAACAAAUGUUUCCUGUUUCUGAAAGGGGUAAUCAAGCCAUAAGUCACACUUGAGUGAAAUGUUACUUUUGGAGAGAAAUGAACACAGAAGCAUACUUGCAUUAUUUAUAAUGGCUUGUCUCUCUUGUGAUCACUUAAAGUUAUAUGAACAUAUCUUGUAUUGUUUUCAUCUUUUAAAUUAAUCACUGGGACAUUAUUACAAGCUUUAUACAAGUGAUGGCUAUUAACUUCAUUUUUAAAGCUUUAACAAUAAUAAUACAUAGUAAUAUUUAUUUUUUACAUACUCUAUCCCGGGCACUGUACUAAACAUUGUACAUAUACUAUCUCAUAUUGAGAGGUGACAGCGUGCUGGCAGUCCUCGCAGCCCUCGCUCACUCUCAGCGCCUCCUCUGCCUGGGCUCCCACUUUGGCGGCACUUGAGGAGCCCUUCAGCCCGCCACUGCACUGUGGGAGCCCCCUCCUGGGCUGGCCAAGGCCGCAGCCGGCUCCCUCAGCUUGCGAGGAGGUGUGGAGGGAGAGGCGCGGGCGGGAACGGGGGCUGCGCACGGUGCUUGCGGGCCAGCACGAGUUCCGGGUGGGCGUGGGCUCUGCGGACCCUGCACACAGAGAGGCCGGCAGGCCCCACCGGCCCGGGCAGUGAGGGGCUUAGCACCUGGGCCAGCAGCUGCUGUGCUCAAUUUCUCGCCUGGCCUUAGCUGCCUUCACGCAGGGCAUGGCUCGGGAUCUGUAGCCGGCCAUGCCUGCGCCUCCCCAACCGUCCGUGGGCUCCUGUGCAGCCCCAGCCUCCCCGAGGAGCGCAGCCCCCUGCUCCACGGCGCCCAGUCCCAUCGACCACCCAAGGGCUGAGGAGUGUGGGCGCACGGCGCUGGACUGGCAGGCAGCUCCACCUGCAGCCCCGAUGGGGGACCCACUGGGCGAAGCCAGCUGGGCACCUGAGUCUGGUGGGGACUGGAGAACCUUUAUGUCUAGCUAAGGGAUUGUAAUUACACCAAUCGGCACUCUGUAUCUAGCUCAAGGUUUGCAAACACACCAAUCUGCACCCUGUGUCUAGCUCAGGGUUUGUGAAUGCACCAAUGGACACUCUAUCUAGCU
rnacentral:lncRNA from 1 species